rnacentral:tRNA from 1 species
GGGGGUAUAGCUUGGUGGUAGAGCACAUGCUUUGCAUGCCUGAGGUCCUAUGUUCAGUCCCUAGUACCUCCA